GCUAAUAUAAAAAAAGCUUCUAGUAUUUAAAUGUAUUUAAAGAUUUGUCUUAAUCCAGCCACUUAGCACAUUUCCUCAAAGUUUAAGCAGUUUUUAAUAGAAUCUUUUGGAUAUUCUUAGAUAUUUAGUAAUAUUAUUAGCAGAAAGAGAUAAUUUUCCAAAAUGAUAGCAAUUAUUUUUUCUCCUAUAUUAUAGACAGGAGACUCUCUGAAGAAAUUCUGAGUAAUAGUGGAUGGCAAGCAUUCUGCUCUUGUUCUUUAUUUUACAAUAAACAGUUUUAUCAGGUCUUUUUGAUACACAAGAAGAUAUGAGAUUUCUGACAACAAAAUCACCAUGGAGGACAAAGCAGAUGGUCCCCCAAAGAAAGCAUGUGUUGCCUGUGUUUUAGAAGCCAGUUUUGUCUGAAACAGAAGCAAAACCUUUUGUUUUCUAGUUAAUUAACUCAUUAUGUUGUAGGUACAUAAUUCUUUUGGAAGAAACCAACCUACUUGAACAGAGAGUACAAAAUAUUAUGUAUUAUGUAUUCAAACCAUACAAAAAUUGUAAAGAUGAUUUUACAUAAACAGGGAUCUGUAUUAACGUGAAAGAAUUGAAGCUUAGGAAACCAGCAUUUCAGUAACGUUCUAAUUUCUGCCCACAUAAAAUCCUCUUUUGUUUGUAAAUAAAAAGGGGAAAUUCUUCA